rnacentral:lncRNA from 1 species
GGGACAAGCAAGGUUUUCUUGUAAGCAAAUUAUCACAAAGCCGUUACGAAGCACAGAAACUCGAACUUUGGACGGUCAAUUUUCAUGGCUUGAGCCCGCUGGACACCGAACGUGGACCAAACGGAUGUGUCCAUUUUAAGUACUUACGUCGCACGAUGACAGAGCCUGGUUUAGCGUCUUUGAAGCUGGUUCAGGUAGACCUAGUCACACCCCUCGAUCAAAAAUAUGAAGAGGCACGGUGGUCAGAAAUUUGGUCCGAUGGUUCUGAAAUAAACCAGGCACCAGAGCUUGAGACAUGGAAUCAUGUAUCUGUUGGCAUAAACGUUUCAGAGCCAUUCAUGCUCAAGUUCGUGCCAAAAUUUGCGGACCACUCACCUGAUGACGAGAUAAAAAUCGGUGGAUUUGAAUUGAGGUACACGCCCUGCAAAGAUCCAGGAGUUGUCAGCGAGCGAACUAUUGGAAAUGCGAAAUUGGGGGAAAAAUAUAGUAAUGAACCAACCGUUGGUAUCACCAAGUGUAGGUCUUGCUGGUGGAGAUGUUUCACAGGGUUAUCCUUGCUAAGAUUAUCCUCGAACGCAUCCUCAUUACUUAGAUCGUCUUCAAUCGCAUCCUCAAUGAGAUCGUCCUCGAACGCAUCCCUGUGA